rnacentral:snRNA from 1 species
GUGCUCACUUCAGCAGCACCUAUACUAAAUUGGAAAGAGACAGAGAUGAGCAUGGCCCUGUGCAAGGAUGACAUGCAAAUUCAUGAAGCGUUCCAUAUUUUU